CGGGUGGUAGCGCAGUCCGGUAGCGUACACGUCUGGGGGGCGUGUGGUCGCAGGUUCAAAUCCUGUUCACCCGACCA
rnacentral:tRNA from 3 species